CAGAUAAAGUUUGAACGUGAGACGUGAAAACUCUCUAAUAGUGCUACUUUGCACUCUGUUCUUUUUGGAAAUAGCUAUGACUAUGAUAUGGCGUACGUGGAACUGAACUAUUCUGAUCGUACAACUGUAGUAUGAAAAAUAUCGGAUGUAUAACAUUGUUCGUUCUUUUCUUUGUUUUGCACAUACGAGUGCUCGAUCUUUCUUCACAUCUCCUGUCACAUGCGGAUGUGGUGCCCUUGUAACUCCUGAUACCACCCAUUCCGAACUAUUGGUUUUUGUGAAUGAGACAGCGAAGGAGAAAGAACCGGUAUACUAUGUACUGCAGCAAAUCUAACUAUUAUAAGCCUCUUAAGUCAGAGGAGAGGUUGCUGCGUUAUGAUGGGUAGGUGGAUCGAUGAGAUAUCG
rnacentral:lncRNA from 1 species